CGGCAUGCCUUACACAUGCAAGUCGAACGGCAGCACGGGUGCUUGCACCUGGUGGCGAGUGGCGAACGGGUGAGUAAUAUAUCGGAACGUACCCUAGAGUGGGGGAUAACGCAGCGAAAGUUGCGCUAAUACCGCAUACGAUCUACGGAUGAAAGUGGGGGAUCGCAAGACCUCAUGCUCAUGGAGCGGCCGAUAUCUGAUUAGCUAGUUGGUGGGGUAAAAGCCUACCAAGGCAUCGAUCAGUAGCUGGUCUGAGAGGACGACCAGCCACACUGGAACUGAGACACGGUCCAGACUCCUACGGGAGGCAGCAGUGGGGAAUUUUGGACAAUGGGCGCAAGCCUGAUCCAGCAAUGCCGCGUGAGUGAAGAAGGCCUUCGGGUUGUAAAGCUCUUUUGUCAGGGAAGAAACGGUGAGGGCUAAUAUCCUUUGCUAAUGACGGUACCUGAAGAAUAAGCACCGGCUAACUACGUGCCAGCAGCCGCGGUAAUACGUAGGGUGCAAGCGUUAAUCGGAAUUACUGGGCGUAAAGCGUGCGCAGGCGGUUAUGUAAGUCAGAUGUGAAAUCCCCGGGCUCAACCUGGGAAUGGCAUUUGAGACUGCAUGGCUAGAGUGUGUCAGAGGGGGGUAGAAUUCCACGUGUAGCAGUGAAAUGCGUAGAGAUGUGGAGGAAUACCGAUGGCGAAGGCAGCCCCCUGGGAUAACACUGACGCUCAUGCACGAAAGCGUGGGGAGCAAACAGGAUUAGAUACCCUGGUAGUCCACGCCCUAAACGAUGUCUACUAGUUGUCGGGACUUAAUUGUCUUGGUAACGCAGCUAACGCGUGAAGUAGACCGCCUGGGGAGUACGGUCGCAAGAUUAAAACUCAAAGGAAUUGACGGGGACCCGCACAAGCGGUGGAUGAUGUGGAUUAAUUCGAUGCAACGCGAAAAACCUUACCUACCCUUGACAUGUACGGAACCUCUGAGAGAUUAGAGGGUGCUCGAAAGAGAGCCGUAACACAGGUGCUGCAUGGCUGUCGUCAGCUCGUGUCGUGAGAUGUUGGGUUAAGUCCCGCAACGAGCGCAACCCUUGUCAUUAGUUGCUACGAAAGGGCACUCUAAUGAGACUGCCGGUGACAAGCCGGAGGAAGGUGGGGAUGACGUCAAGUCCUCAUGGCCCUUAUGGGUAGGGCUUCACACGUCAUACAAUGGUACAUACAGAGGGCCGCCAACCCGCGAGGGGGAGCUAAUCCCAGAAAGUGUAUCGUAGUCCGGAUUGUAGUCUGCAACUCGACUACAUGAAGUUGGAAUCGCUAGUAAUCGCGGAUCAGCAUGUCGCGGUGAAUACGUUCCCGGGUCUUGUACACACCGCCCGUCACACCAUGGGAGCGGGUUUCACCAGAAGUAGGUAGCCUAACCGCAAGGAGGGCGCUUACCACGGUGG
rnacentral:rRNA from 1 species